AAAUUUAAGUUUAGAAAUACAAUAAUUCACUAAAAGAGGUUGAAUGCAAUGUUGUGUGUACACAUUCACAGCCCGUAGUUAAUUGAAAGCUGUUUUACUAUAAGAUGUAACUCCCAUUCAUCCACCCCAGCGGAUUAGGAGCUGGUGAGUGCAGUGUAGCUGAAGUCUACAAGGUGACAUUUCACCAAUCUCUGGAUCAACAGCAUUAAUGCUAGAAACAUGUUAGAGAGUCUUAUAUAGGUGUUUUCCUACAACUUUACGAGAUCCUCAAUACUGAUAAAACAUAUAGG